AGCAGCCGCGGUAAUUCCAGCUCCAAUAGCGUAUAUUAAAGUUGUUGCAGUUAAAAAGCUCGUAGUUGAAUUUCGGGGUCAAUACGUCGGUCGUGCCUCUGGUAUGUACUGGUGUUAUUGAUUCCUCCUUUCUGAUGAACCAUGAUGUCAUUAAUUUGGUGUUGUGGGGAGUCAGGACUGUUGCUUUGAAAAAAUUAGAGUGUUUAAAGCAGGCUCACGCUUGAAUACAUUAGCAUGGAAUAAUGGAAUAGGACGUUCGAACCUAUUUUGUUGGUUUCUAGGAUCAACGUAAUGAUUAAUAGGGAUAGUUGGGGGCAUUAGUAUUCAAUUGUCAGAGGUGAAAUUCUUGGAUUUAUUGAAGACUAAUUACUGCGAAAGCAUUUGCCAAGGAUGUUUUCAUUAAUCAAGAACGAAAGUUAGGGGAUCGAAGACGAUCAGAUACCGUCGUAGUCUUAACCAUAAACUAUGCCGACUAGGGAUCGGAUGAUGUUAAUUUUUUAAUGA
rnacentral:rRNA from 1 species